AGAGUUUGAUCAUGGCUCAGGACGAACGCUGGCGGCGCGCCUAAUGCAUGCAAGUCGAGCGACGCAUAUUCGGUGGGUAACCACUGGGUAUGACGGAGCGGCGAACGGGUGAGUAACACGUGAGUAACCUGCCCCGAAGAUCGGGAUAGCCCGGGGAAACCCGGAUUAAUACCGAAUACCCUCUCUGGAUCGCAUGGUCCGAUGAGGAAAUGCCUUUGUGCUUCGGGAUGGACUCGCGGCCUAUCAGCUUGUUGGUGAGGUAACGGCUCACCAAGGCAACGACGGGUAGCUGGUCUGAGAGGACGAUCAGCCACACUGGGACUGAGACACGGCCCAGACUCCUACGGGAGGCAGCAGCAGGGAAUCUUGUCCAAUGGGCGAAAGCCUGAGACAGCGACGCCGCGUGAGGGAUGAAGGCCUUCGGGUUGUAAACCUCUUUCAGGAGGGACGAAAUUGACGGUACCUCCAGAAGAAGCCCCGGCCAACUACGUGCCAGCAGCCGCGGUAAUACGUAGGGGGCAAGCGUUGUCCGGAUUUAUUGGGCGUAAAGGGCUCGUAGGCGGCUCAACAAGUCGGUCGUGAAAACCCAGGGCUCAACCCUGGGACGCCGGUCGAUACUGUUGUGGCUAGGGUCCGGUAGAGGAGAAUGGAAUUCCCGGUGUAGCGGUGAAAUGCGCAGAUAUCGGGAGGAACACCAGUAGCGAAGGC
rnacentral:rRNA from 1 species